UACGGAGGGAGCUAGCGUUGUUCGGAAUUACUGGGCGUAAAGCGCGCGUAGGCGGCUUUGUAAGUUAGAGGUGAAAGCCCGGGCUCAACCCCGGAACUGCCUUUAAAACUGCAUCGCUUGAAUCCAGGAGAGGUGAGUGGAAUUCCGAGUGUAGAGGUGAAAUUCGUAGAUAUUCGGAAGAACACCAGUGGCGAAGGCGGCUCACUGGACUGGUAUUGACGCUGAGGUGCGAAAGCGUGGGGAGCAAACAGG
rnacentral:rRNA from 1 species